AUUGAACGCUGGCGGCAUGCCUUACACAUGCAAGUCGAACGGCAGCACGGGUGCUUGCACCUGGUGGCGAGUGGCGAACGGGUGAGUAACACAUCGGAACAUGUCCUGUAGUGGGGGAUAGCCCGGCGAAAGCCGGAUUAAUACCGCAUACGAUCUACGGAUGAAAGCGGGGGACCUUCGGGCCUGGCGCAUUAGGGUGGGCCGAUGGCUGAUUACCUAGUUGGGGGGGUAAAGGCCGACCAAGGCGACAAUCAGUAGCUGGUCUGAGAGGACGACCAGCCACACUGGGACUGAGACACGGCCCAGACUCCUACGGGAGGCAGCAGUGGGGAAUUUUGGACAAUGGGCGAAAGCCUGAUCCAGCAAUGCCGCGUGUGUGAAGAAGGCCUUCGGGUUGUAAAGCACUUUUGUCCGGAAAGAAAUCCUUGGCCCUAAUACGGUCGGGGGAUGACGGUACCGGAAGAAUAAGCACCGGCUAACUACGUG
rnacentral:rRNA from 1 species